UGCGAAUGGUUCCCUGCGGGAUUAAUAGGAAAGUUGAGUAGAAGCUCACACGGUCGCGCCGCUGUAAGGGAGUAGUCAUGUUUCAUUAUGUCACUGGAGACGGGAAGGCGAAGCAUGGCGAUGAUACCUGAGUCAGAAGACCUGCCAUUUGC
rnacentral:ncRNA from 1 species